AGCACCUCAAGUGGUCAGGAUGAUUAUUGGGCCUAAAGCAUCCGUAGCUCGUUUUGUAAGUUUUCGGUUAAAUCCAUGCGCUUAACGUAUGGGCUGCCGGGAAUACUGCAUAACUAGGAAGUGGGAGAGGUAGACGGUACUCGGUAGGAAGGGGUAAAAUCCUUUGAUCUAUUGAUGACCACCUGUGGCGAAGGCGGUCUACCAGAACACGUUCGACGGUGAGGGAUGAAAGCUGGGGGAGGCAAACC
rnacentral:rRNA from 1 species